GCUGGGCAAGGUGGCAUGUCCCUGUAGUCCCAGCUACUCGGGAGGCUGAGGUGGGAGAAUCGCUUGAGCCCAGCAGUUCUGGGCUGUAGUGCGCUAUGCCGAUCAGGUGUCCGCACUGAGUUUGGCAUCAAUAUGGUGACCUCCUGGGAGCGGGGGACCACCAGGUUGCCUAAGGAGGGGUGAACCGGCCCAGGUCGGAAACGGAACAGGUCAAAACUUCCGUGUUGACAGUAGUGGGAUCACACCUGUGAAUAGCCACUGCACUCCAGCCUGGGCAACAUAGCGAGACCCCAUAUCUA
ensembl:misc_RNA Metazoa_SRP Metazoan signal recognition particle RNA